GUCUCUAGUUUACUCUUUAAUUAAUCUCAUUCACAUUCUCUUGCUUGUUUACUUAGUUAACUCGUGAUCAUAUCUUACUCUUCCAUUGCUGAAACGUUGAGUAUCAUUUGAUAAUAUAAUAAGUUCUUAACUCUUAUAACUUACCUGAGCUUGCCAUUUACGCUUUUAAUUGAACUUUCAUGUACCUGAUUCGUUUACUAGUCCGUUGAACCACAUUGGAAUAAUAAGGAUACUCAGGUAUCUUCUGACCAUAACAUGCCAAAGCCAUGUCCCAGACAUGGUCUUACAUGGGAUGUUCUCAUAUCGGUGCCCAUGCCAUGUCCUAGACAUGGUCUUACGGGGGACCUCUCAUCUCGGUACCAAUGCCAUGUCCCAAACAUGGUCUUACAUGGGACCUCACAUCUCGGUGCCAACGCCAUGUCCCAGACAUGGUCUUACAUGGGACCUCUCAUCUCGGUGCCAAUGCCAUGUCCCAGACAUGGUCUUACAUGGGAUCUCUUUACCCAAAUGUCAUGACAUUCGUAUCCAGUACCAUCCUUAUGUAUCAACGGGACUUUUUAAUUUUACUUCUCUAUCAUCUCAUACUUAAGUCAACAUUAAAUAAAUUCAUAAAAUAAAUACAUAAUUGCUGGAAAUAACAGGAUUAAUAAUAAUUAUUGAAAUAUUGUAUUUAUUUACCGUAAACUUACCUCGGUAUCGAAUAGAGCCCAAUUCACCAACUUAGUCUUCAACUUUAUUCUUUCCUUUGUCUAACCUCGAGUUUCGUUUUUCUUGAUCUAAAAUAGAAAAUUUAACUUAUUUAAUACUCACAUUCAUCAAAACAGCCCUCGAAUCUAACUUUUUCAAAAUUACAAUUUUGCCCCUAAAUUUUUGCAUAAUUACAUUUUUGCCCCAAGGCCCAGAAAUUAAACUUCAUCUCAUAUUCUUAUGUUUUAUGACAUGAUGAACAUUUUUCCCUUCUAUGGCAACAUCAAAUUCUCACUCUAACAUGUACUUAUGAACAUUAGGUAUUUUUACCGAUUAUGUCGUUUUACUCGUUUUCACUUAAAAUCGGCUAGGAAAAGUUGUUUAACAUAAUUUAUAGCUUCAUAUUCUAUCAUAAAACAUCAAAAUAAACACUUUUCACUUAUGGGUAUUUUUCCAAAUAAAAACCCUAGGUUAAAUUAUUGCUAAAUUAAGCUACCGGGAUCUCAAAAACGUAAAGAACAUUAAAAACGAGGCUUGGGAUCAGUUACUAUGGAGCUUGGAAGCUUGAAAACCCUAACUAUGGCUUCCCCCCUUGCUGAUUUCGUCCUAAUGAAGAAGAUGAUAAUUUUUGCCAUCUUUUUCCCUUUUAAUUCUUUUUAUUACUAGAUUACCAAAUUGCCCCUAACUUAAAAAUUUUCUAUUUCACUUAUCUCAUGUCCAUUUUUGUCUACCAACUUAACCAAUGGUCUAUUUACCAUAUAAGUACCUCCAAUUUAAAAUUUCAUAACAAUUGGACACUUCUAACAUGUAGAACUCAAAUUUUGCACUUCUUAGAAUUUAGUCCUUUUGACUAAAUUGAGUGCCCAAACGUCAAAAUUUUCGAACAAAAUUUUCAUGAAAUCAUUUUGUAAAAUCAUAGACCAUAAAAAUAUAAGAAAAAUAAAUUUUUCCUCAUCGGAUUUGUGGUCCCGAAACCACUGUUCCGACUAGGCCCAAAAUCAGGAUGUUACAUUUCUCCCCCUAUUUUAGGGAUUUUCGUCCCCGACAAUCUUACCAGUGAAUAAGUUGGGAUACUGUUUCCUCAUAGCCUCCUCGGUUUCCCAUGUUGCCUCUUCCAUCCCAUGUCAUUGCCAUAACACUUUCACUAAAGCAAUUUCUUUGUUUAUCAAUUGUUUCACUUCUCGUGCCAAGAUUCGAAUCGGCUCUUCUUCGUAUGUCAUAUCUGAUCGAAUUUCCACUCAGGAACUAACAUAGGCUGCAAUAACCUGAAGGUACCUGACAUUCAGCCUUUACCUGGUGACAGAUCAAGCAUCUAGAAACAAAUUCUGAAAUAUCUCUUUUCAUUCCUACCCACCAGUACAUUUUCUUCAAAUCAUUAUACAUCUUUGUACUACCUGGGUGAAUAGACAAAGAACUGCUAUGUGCUUUAACUGCUAUGUGCUUUUUGUAAAAUCUUUCGAACAAGUACAUCAUUCUUCGGUACACAUAUUCGAUUUCUGAACAUCAAACAACCAUCAGAACCGAUCUGAAAAUCAGACUCUACACUUGUCUCACACUGAGUCUUUUAGCUUGUAACUCACUAUCAUCUUUUUGAGCUUUAUAGAUUUCUUCGAGAAACAUCGGUUUGGCCAUCAACUUAGCUAAAAUGAAACCAUCAUCAUAUAAAGUCAAACUAGUAUUCAAAACUCUCAAUGUAAAUAAAGACUUUCUACUCAAGGCAUAAACAACAAUAUUUGCCUUACUCGGGUGAUAAUCUUUCACUAGCUCAUAAUCUUUAAUCAACUCUAGCUAUUUUCUUUGCCUCAAGUUCAAAUCUUUCUGAGUCAUCAAGUAUUUUGAAACUUUUAUGGUCAGUGAAUAUUCGACACUUCUCACUGUACAAGUGAUGUCUCCAAAUCUUCAACGCAAAUACAAUGGCAGCCAGAUCUAAAUUAUGCGUUGGAUAGUUUGUCUCAUGAGGCUUUAACUAUCUCGAAGCAUAUGCAAUGACUUUUUCUUCUUGCAUAAGUACACAAACCAAUCCGUUCAUGGAUGCAUCAUUGUAAAUUACAAAUUCUUUACUCAGUUCUGGCUGUACUAAAAUAGGAGCUUCAGUCAAUAAUGCCUGUAACUUGUCAAAACUUUGCUGACACUUUUCAGUCCAUUCAAACUUGACAUCUUUCUGCAACAACCUUGUCAACGAGGUGGCUAUUAUGGAAAAUCUCUUUACAACUCAUUUGUAAUAACCAGCUAAUCCAAGAAAGCUUCUAACCUCUAAUACAUUUCUAGGAGGCUUCUACUCAACAAUUGCUAAAAUUUUACUCGGAUCAACUUUAAUACCAUCACCCAAGACAUUGUGCCCAAGGAAUCCGACUUCUCGAAGCCAGAACUCAUUUUUUGCUAAACUUGGCAUACAGCUGAUUGUCACUCAAAAUCUGUAAAACUGUUCUCAAAUGUUCGGCAUGUUCAGUCUCAUCAAGAGAAUAAAUCAGAAUAUCAUCAAUAAACACAACUACAAACUUGUCCAAGUAUGGUCGAAAGAUUCGGUUUAUUAAAUCCAUAAAUAUGGCAGGAGCAUUAGUCCAACCAAAUGGCAUAGCAAGAAACUCAUAGUGACCAUACCUAGUCCGGAAAGUAGUCUUCGGAGCAUCUGAUUCUUUAACCUGCAUCUGAUAGUAACCGGAUCUUAAAUCUAUCUUGGAGAACACAGUGGCUCCCUUCCAUUGGUCAAACAGAUCAUCAAUUAUAGGCAGUGGAUAUAUAUAUAUUUAAUUGUUACUUUGUUAAGCUACCGAUAAUCUAUGCAUAAUUUCAUCAAACAGUCUUUUUUUUUUCACAAAAACACUGGUGUACCCCACGAAGAACAACUAGGCCUUACAAAACCUUUAUCAGUUAAUUCCUGCAACUGAGCUUUUAAUUCUUUCAAUUCCAUCAGAGUCAUUCUAUAAGGAGCAAUAGAAAUAAGAAUGGUACCUGGAAUCAACUCAAUACCAAACUCAACUUCUCUAAUAGGAGGCAAACCUGACAAUUCUUCCGGAAACACAUCGGAAAACUCUCAAAAUACUAACACUGAUUCAAUUUUCAACUCUGGAUCUUUAGUAUUCCAUAUAAAAGCAAGAUAAGCUUCAUACCCUUUUCUCAAACAUUUCUAAGUAGGCUUAACAGAAAUCAUGUCAAGAGAACUAUCUGACUCAUCUGUCUUUUCUUCGAGUCUUGAACUUCAAUUUCAGCUUUGCCCUUUCCUUUUUCUUUUAACAACUCCUCUGCCUUACAGGCUCUCUCAACUAGAACAACAAACUCUUUUAUCUUUAGAACACCAACUGACAGUCGGAUAUCAUUAUUGAGCCUAUCCUCAAAUCUUUUACACAUAGUAGCUUCUGUAGAUACACAUUCUCGAGCAUACUUGCAGAGUCUGACAAAUUCACGUUCAUAGUCAGUAACAGUCAUCUUACCUUGUUUUAGCUCAAGAAACUCCUUCCUUUUCUGGUCAAUAAAUCUCUGGCUGAUAUACUUUUUACGGAACUCCUCCUGAAAGAAAUCCCAAGUAACUCUCUCACUCAGUGCACCUGACACAAGAGUCUUCCACCAAUGAUAGGCCGAAUCUCUAAGGAGUGAGACAACACACUUUAACAUUUCUCGGGUGUACAGGAUAACUCAUCAAAUACUCUGAUAGUAUUUUCGAGCCAAAAUUCUGCUUUCUCUGCAUCAUCGUCUUUAGUAGCCCGAAAUUCUUCAGCCCCUUGUUUUCUAAUCUUAUCAACUGGUGGCCUUUCUCUUAUAGCUGUACCUGUACCUGUAAUUGGGGGAGCUACAUGGGGAAUUUGAAAAUCAUAAGGGGGUGGAGGUCUAACAGCCGGAUUCGUACGAACGAACUCGGCAAACCACUCAUUCAUAGCUUGGAAGAAGGCUUCUCGAGCCCCUCCUCCCUAACUAACAGAAAUGGGCCUUUCACUAACAUUAACAUCUGGUGGCACCGUCCCUUCAGUGGGAGCGGGUGCAUUACUCUCUACUUCAUCUAUACCAGCUCGUUCGGGAUCCAUAACUAUAAAAGAAAACAUUUUAAAAUCGUCAAGAGUCGUCACACUAUCAAAAUAUAUAAGUAUGGCAUGUAUAGCUAGACUCUUAUUCAUACCGACUAUUCCGAGAACCGACUAAACUUGCUCUGAUACCAAUAAAUGUAACACCCCCUUACCCGAGAUCAUUUUCGGAAUCGAGCACGAGGCAUUACUUAGCUUAUCUUACUAAUUCGGAGCAUAAAAACUUAGUUUGAAAAUUUAUUUCACUAUUUACAGCAAAUCUGUCCAAUCGCGCAGCAGUUACAAAAUUAAGUAUAACUUGAGCUACGGAACUCGAAAUUCAAUUCUGUAAAUUUUCCCUGAAACUAGACUCAUAUUUAUACGUGAAAUAAUUUUUUUAGAAUUUUUUGUUUAGUCAAUUAGUACAUUUUAUUAGUUAAAGUCUCCCCUGUUUCACUACUUGACUGCCCUGACCUCUUGUCACUAAAAAUAAAAUUUCUCAUUGUGGGAUUUUCAUAUAGUGUUACCACUUAUUUCUAUAGAAAUAGACUCAAUAAGGAUUCUAUACAUAUAAACUACAACUCAUAAAUAUUUUUGUACCAUUUUUAGUUAUUUUCUAAACUCAGAACAGGGGACUCCAAAAAUAGUUCUGACCCUGUCUCACUAAAAUUCACAUAUCUUAAUAUAUAAAAUUAAUUUUGUUAAACCGUUAUUUUUCUAUGAAAAUAGACUCAACAAGAUUUAAUUACAUAUAUCAUUCAACCUAUAAUUCAUUUUAUACCAUCCUAGGUGAUUUUUCAAAUUCACGUCACUGUUGCUGCCUGAAUUCUGUUUCUUAGCAUAAUUUUACCCUUUCAUGAUUUCCAUGCAUAAUUUAUCACCUAGACUCUUAUAACAACAAACAUCUUCAUACUUAACCAUUUUAAUAACCAUUCAUCAUCAAAUUUUCACACACCAUUCUUUAGCAAAAUCAUAAUUACAAACAUGAAAAAUAACUAAGUCCCUAUACAUGCCAUAACUCAAACGUGUUUCAUCAUAAAAUACCGAGCAGUUGUUCUUGAUAGUGUAGACGAUCUCCGACUUCUUUAGGAUCCAUGAAGCAACUUUGCAAUACUAUAAGAGAAAGAAAAAUAAAAGAAGUAAGCAUUAAGCUUAGUAAGUUUACUAGCAAAUAAAUAACAACAUUUAACACAAAUGAUUAUACUCAAAUGUCAAGGUCUCUAGUUUACUCUUUAAUUAAUCUCAUUCACAUUCUCUUGCUUGUUUACUUAGUUAACUCGUGAUCAUAUCUUACUCUUCCAUUGCUGAAACGUUGAGUAUCAUUUGAUAAUAUAAUAAGUUCUUAACUCUUAUAACUUACCUGAGCUUGCCAUUUAUGCUUUUAACUGAACUUUCAUGUACCUGAUUCGUUUACUAGCCCGUUGAACCACAUUGGAAUAAUAAGGAUACUCGGGUAUCUUCUGAUCAUAACAUGCCAAAGCCAUGUCCCAGACAUGGUCUUACAUGGGAUGUUCUCAUAUCGGUGCCCAUGCCAUGUCCCAGACAUGGUCUUACGGGGGACCUCUCAUCUCGGUGCCAACGCCAUGUCCCAGACAUGGUCUUACAUGGGACCUCUCAUCUCGGUGCCAAU
rnacentral:lncRNA from 1 species